rnacentral:lncRNA from 1 species
AAAGUUUGACACAGACACUUGCCCCAGUGUGUCAUGCUCAGAGCAAUGACCCACGGGUUCUAAUGGGAGGUGAGCAUUGGAGAAGGAAGGGAAAUUCCAUAGGUCAGUAAGGCUGCAUCAGGAUCAGCUGAAUUUCUGACAGCAGAUCUCACGGAGAGAAUCAAAGGCUAACUAGGGGAAACAGUAGGAGUCACUAAGAGAUUCCGGAAGUUGUGUAGGGAUGAAAGUUGCUUAACUACUGUCUGACUCAGUUCAUCUUCUAUACAUCAAAGAUGUUACAUGCCCCUACCUUUAUAGGGCUGCUGGGAGGAUUCAUCAAGUUUCUGCAGGUAAAGUUCCAGGCACAAAGUAAAGAUGUUGCUAUUAAAAUGGUAAGAUGUGGCUGGGCGCGGUGGCUCAUGCCUGUAAUCCCAGCACUUUGGGAAGCCGAGGCGGGUGGAUCACGAGGUCAGGAGUUCAAGAUAAGCCUGGCUAAGAUGGUGACACCCCAUCUCUACUAAAAAGACAAAAUUAGCCAGGCGUGGUGGCGGGCGCUACUCGGGAGGCUGGGGCAGGAGGGUUGUGUGAGCCCGGGAGGCAGAGGUUGCGGUGAGCUGAGAUAAUGCCACUGCACUCCAGCCUGGGCAACAGAGUGAGACUCUGUCUCAAAAAACAAAAAACAAAACCAAAAAAUGGUAAGAUGCAAUGCAUCCGGGUCUAGGAUUUUCUCAAGCGUUUAGCAGCCUAGGAAUUCUCAGUAGACUUCUGAAACAUAUAAUUUAUGCCCUAAAAUUUUGAUGACUAAUAUCUAUGAUAUAGUAAAGCCUGUCUGGAUAUCAAGUCAGUGUGGGUUUGAUCAUUUAUUUCAACCAUUGGAAACAAACCCCAAUGCCUCCAGAAGCCAGGUGGGUGACCUAAGGGUGGGAUGGCAGGAGGGGUGUACCACCUAGAGAGCACAAGCCCUCCUCAAAAGAGAAUCUGUUACUGACUUCGUUAUUGCCCUAUGUAAGUGUGGACCAGGCUUGCUGUUUGACAUCUACAGUGCAUUAUUUCAACAUUCAUCAGGUUUAAUGCACUAUGCCACAUAAGCGAGGUGAUGCUACUAGGAUAUUUUUUGGAAAUUUACACACACACAAGUCUGCUAAAAUAGUUAGGUCUAAGGAUUCCUAGCUCUGGGAGAAGGGUUACAUUUUCUGCCUUAUCUCCAGCUAUUGGGGUUAUUUGAAUUAUUUAACCUUGACCUGUUGUAUUAGUCCAUUCCCACACUACUAAUAAAGACAUACCUGAGACUGGGUAAUUUAUAAAGGAAAAAGGUUUAAUUGACUCACAGUUCUGCAUGGCUGGGGAGGCCUCAGGAAACUUACAAUUAUGAUGGAAGGGGAAGCAAACACAUCCUUCUUCACGUGGCAGCAGCAAGGAGAAGAAUGAAAGCUGAGAGAACAGGAAAGCCCCUUAUAAAACCACCAGAUCUCAUGAGAACUCACUAUCAUGAGAAUAGCAUGGGGUUAACCACCCCCAUGGUUCAACUACUUCCCACCGGGUCCCUCCCGAUUCACAUGGGGAUUAUGAGAACUACAAUUUAAGAUGAAAUUUAGGUGGGGACACAGCCAAACCAUAUCACCUGUAUUUAAUUUAUAUAAUAAAAUACAUUUAAUCUAUAAAUUAUGUUAAAAGUACACAUUGAAACCUGAAAGGUUUCAAGAAGUCCUAUACUAGAGCAAAGAAACCCAUUUAACAGUAAUCAGCCCCUUGUUUCUCAUAAUAUUUCACUCAAAAUCUUUAUUUUCCAUAUAAAAUGUAUGAACACCUUACGGAGCACUCUUUGGGAAAGGAUGCCCAACUUUUAAAAGGAAGACCCAAACAAACCGGUCAACAGAAACAGAGUGCUGCUGUGGUGCCAUGCCCGAGACACCUGCCAAUAGUCCUCUGCCACUCGCCAUCCUUGCAUCAGCAUCUGGGACAUGGUAAUUACACUCGACGGCCUGUCACUCCACCUCUCCUCAUUCCUCAGCUCACAGAAAAGAGAUCUGUGAAACACCAGCUCUGGUCUCGGCAAAUAUUUGUUUCCCCCUGGCUCCCUGGAAAAUGCAUUUUUAAAACUGUUCCUACAAUUGCAGUAUGGCAGCUGCUUUAUCAGUGUGUGAAGACAGAACAAUGAUGUGGCUUAGAUACUUGACAUUUUGUAUUGUUGGAAAGUGGCAAAUUGCACUGAGCUGUAAAUGCACUGUAAGUGGUGUUGUGUUGAAUUAUAAAGA